CAACAAAGUGAGGGAGGAAAGGCAAAUUGAGGCAGGUAAAGUGCCUGGCAUGCCUACUGAGUCAUCCAUGAGCAACACUCGUAAGGAAACCCCCAGCAACAGCUCCAAGAGUUGCUGCUUUCCAUGGUUCAGAAAGUGAUGUCUUUGAGUACAUUGUGGAAAAUUAUGUGGUGUGUAGAACUUGUAAAUACUUUGAAGUCUCUCUUCAUGCAGAGUAACUUCUUUGAG
rnacentral:misc_RNA from 1 species